rfam:Zea mays cultivar B73 chromosome 1, whole genome shotgun sequence.
ACUUUCGUAUUCACCUCAGUCCACAUGUAUUGAGGUGGAUUGGAGUGUAACUUAAACUAAUUUACACUCCAAUCCAUUUCAAUACAUGUGGACUAAGGUGAAUACGAGU